CGGCAGUGGAACCAGACAGCUGUGAGGAAAGGACAUACAGCAAUGACACCAAGAGGUGGUGCUCAAGUCACCCUGGAGGAAAUGGAGGUGUCCCAGAGAGGCAGCAUUUGGGGAGGACACAUUUGGACCUGACCUUCACCACUGGUCAUGUGAGAAAGCCUCUAUACCUGGUUCCUCAACGUCUCCGUUUAGAAGACUGCAUCAGCAAAACCAUCCUACCAUGGGAAUUAACUGAUGGAUGUGUCUGGACUUCCCAGGGGGUUCUCCAUGGACAGUAUUGUGCUGGUAAAUAUUUAACAACUGACUCUUCGUGGGGAGAAAAUCACUAAGUGUAGCAUCUGUUAACACCUCCACCCUGGCUGAUGCGCAGUUGGGAAGACAUGUGCACAGCUGGCACCGUGAGCUGGCAGGAGCUGCUCCAGCACCCGCAUUGCAUGCAAAAGUCAAGCACUAUCUCCAGCUCCCUGAAUCCUGUGUGAAGGCAGGACAGCAAGCUGGUUAAGAGGCUAAGAUUUGACUGGGCAUGGUGGCUCAUGCCUGUAAUCCCAGCACUUUGGGAGGCCGAGGCGGGCAGAUCACUUGAGGUGAGGAGUUCGAGACCAGCCUGGCCAACAUGGUGAAACCCCAUCUCUACUGAAAAAUACAAAAAUUAGCCUCACAUGGGGGUGCACGCCUGUAAUCCCAGCUACUCAAGAGCCUGAGGCAGGAGAAUUGCUUGAACCCGGGAGGUAGAGGCCGCAGUGACAGGGGUGGGAAAGAGGCUGAGAUUCGCAGCUGAACAAACUUGGGCUCAAUGAGCAGCUCCAACUCUUACCGGUCAUAUGACCUUGAGCAAGUACAAAUCUCAAUUAGUAAAUAGGAAAGCAUCUUCUGCUGAUGAAGCAUUCAUUCUGUUCUAAGGACUUGCCAUCUCCUAACUCACUUAAUCUUCACAGUAACCACAACAGGUUGGUUUGACUCUCAUUCGCAGUUAAAGACGAGGAGACGGAGACCUAGAGGAAGUCAUUUGUACAAGGCCAUAUGGCUUGCUCCUGAUAGAUCUGGAAUUUGGACUCAGGCAGCCUGGUUCUGGAGCUGAAUUCUGAACUACCUAUAUCAUCCCACCUCAGUCCAGUGAGAGAACGUGUCACCUGAGUGCUCAAGAUACAUCAAGAGCCCGACCAUGUCCUGGAGCCUCUUAAGAGCGAAGCUCAGGGUGCAGGACCUGAGAGGGUGUUAAUCAGCCGCUUCCAUUUUUUUCUUAAUAUGGGAAGACCAGAUUUUGCUUGGCUUCUGGAAACCGCUGCCAUCUUGCUUUUCCUCCUACUUCAGCUCUUGGUCUCCUGUGCAGCUGGCUUUUCCUUCUUCCUGACUUUUCAAGCCCAUCCUUGGACCUCUUAUCUUCUCCAUCAAAAUUCUCUCCCUGGAUGAUUUCACUGAGGCCGAUGGCUUAAAUCCCUUAGAAAUACUGAUAGCUCCAAAUCCCUAUCUUUAGCCUGGCCUCCUGCCCUAGAAUUCACUUGUCUAAGUGCCUAGUGGAUUUCUCCACUUAGAUGUCUCAUAAGCAUUUCAAACCUGCCCAAAACGAAACUUGAUUACCAUCCCCAAACCACUCUUCCCUAAGAAAAUGGUGUCCCCGUUCCACCAGUUGCUCAGGCAAAAACCCUAGCAAUCAGCCUCACUUGCUUUCAUUCUCUCUCAUCUCCCACAUCAAACCCAUUAGCAAAUUCUGUUGGUUCUUUUUUGAAAUGUACUCGGAGGCUACUUCUCACCACAUGCUCUGCUAUGGUUCUAGCCCAAGCCACUGUCAGUCUCUCCCAGAGACACAAGCUGUACCUUCCUAACUCGCACCCCUGUGUGCAUCCCUGUGUGCAUCCCUGCUCACCCAAAGCCAACCCUUUGCAUAUAACCAGAGUGAUUUUUUUGAAAUGUAAAUAAGAACCGGUCACCACCCUAUUCAAAUCCUCCAGGGGCUUCUCAUUUCUCUUAGAACAAAACCCAGACUCCUGACUACAGCCCCAAAGCCCUACAUGAUCCUGCCCCAUUUACAGCUCCAGGCUCAUUACCUACCUCGUGCUCCCAGCCCACGGAUCAUCGCCUACCACAUGCUCCCAGCCCCCGGAUCUCCAGCACAUCAGCCUCUUGGCUCUUCUUAGAACUCCCUGAAUUCACUCCUGUCUCAAGGACUUUCCUGUGCUUUUCCUUAGACAGGAGACACCCCUCCCAGUUCACAUGGCUCACUCGCUUCAUCCAGGUCUCUUCUCCAGUGUCCCCUCCUUGUGACCCCUGGAUCUAAAGGAGUUGAACCACCCCACUCCUACCCUUAUAUUCUCAUAGCUCCUCACGCUGCCUCACUUUUAGCAAGAUUUCAUUAAAAUUUUAUUGCUGUCUAAAAUUCUAUUAUAUAUUUAACCAUUUACUUGUUUAGUAUCUGUGUCUUCCAUUAGCAAGUAAGUUCUGGCCAGGCGUGGUGGCUCACACCUGUAAUCCCAGCACUUUGGGAGGCUGAGGCAGGCAGAUCACCUGAGGUCAGGAGUUUGAGACCAGCCUGGUCAACGUGGUGAAACCCUGUCUCUACUAAAAAUACAAAAAUUUGCCGGGUGUGGUGGCAUGCACCUGUAAUCUCAGCUACUCGGGAGGCUGAGGCAGGAGAAUCGCUUGAACCUGGGAGGUGGAGGCUGCAGUGAGCCAAAAGAAAGAAAGAAAGUAAGUUCCAUGAAGGCAGAAAUUUUCUGCUUUAUUCAUUGCUGAAUACUCAACAUCUAGAAUUGUAGACCCUCCAUAGACACUUAUUGGCUGAAUGACUGAAAGAAUGAAUGAGUGGUUAGAAACAGUACCCAUGUGGAAGAAUAUAUAGCCACCUCUUACACACAGUUUCAUUAAUUCUCAGAAGUUUUCUAUGGCAAUUAGGGAGCAGAUUAUUUCGCCCGUUUAUUGAAACCCAGAACUAACGAUUGAUGUUUAAAGACUAAUCCGUCUGGAGUAAGUAGCUGCUGAAUGUUGGCCGUUCAAAUGAAGUAAGUUAAGUAUUAUGUGUCUCUAAUGUAUUUUAAACUUGUUUUAUGUCAAUUAUAUUAUCACAACUUUGGAAGAAACUUUAUUAGGACAAACUUUAAUAUUUUUUUCUAGAAAGUAUUUUUUUUAAACUAACACAAAUGCAAAGUCACUGUAAAGUUCAAGAAGUAAACGAUAUCUUCUUUUAGUUACAGCUGAAAGGAAAGCACAUCACUAAUAAUACCAAACUUGGUUUGGCAAUUUUUAGAAACCCCAUUUAGGCCAGGCGCAGUGG
rnacentral:lncRNA from 1 species